AGCAGCCGCGGUAAUUCCAGCUCCAAUAGCGUAUAUUAAAGUUGUUGCAGUUAAAAAGCUCGUAGUUGAAUUUCGGGAUCGAAUUGUUGGUCGUGCUUCGGUACGUACUGGCAUUAUUGGUUCCUACCUUCUGAAGAACCGCGAUGUCAUUAAUUUGGUGUCGUGGGGAAUCAGGACUGUUACUUUGAAAAAAUUAGAGUGUUUAAAGCAGGCGCACGCUUGAAUACAUUAGCAUGGAAUAAUGAAAUAGGACGUUUGAUUCUAUUUUGUUGGUUUCUAGGAUCGACGUAACGAUUAAUAGGGAUAGUUGGGGGCAUUAGUAUUCAAUUGUCAGAGGUGAAAUUCUUGGAUUUAUUGAAGACUAACUACUGCGAAAGCAUUUGCCAAGGAUGUUUUCAUUAAUCAAGAACGAAAGUUAGGGGAUCGAAGACGAUCAGAUACCGUCGUAGUCUUAACCAUAAACUAUGCCGACUAGGGAUCGGAUGAUGUUAAUUUUUUAAUGACUCA
rnacentral:rRNA from 1 species